UUUUCCCCUCCAUCAUAGGGCGAAGCUGGACUCCCAGGCUCACCUGGUUUGACAGGACAGAGAGGAGAGAAAGGAGAUCAGGGCGAAAAGGGAAGAUCUGGACUCCCUGGUUUCAAAGGUGAAAGAGGUGACAAGGGAGAUGUCGGUCCUGCUGGUCCCCCAGGAUUACCAGGGACAACUUCCCCGUUUACUCCGCAUCCCAGUCAACCUGUAAGUUUCAUGCUUGAUUCUUCUG